CGGCCCGUGGCGCAGCGGUUGACGCGCCGCACUGCUCCUGCGGAACGCACCGGAUCGACUCCGGUCGGGCCCG
rnacentral:tRNA from 2 species